AGGUAAUGGCUCACCAAACCUUUGACCGGUACGGGCCAUGAGAGUGGUAGCCCGGAGAUGGACACUGAGACAAGGGUCCAGGCCCUACGGGGCGCAGCAGGCGCGAAACCUCCUCAAUGCACUAACGUGCGAAGGGGUUACCUCGAGUGCCAUCUGAAGAAGGUGGCUUUUCCUUGGUCUAAAAAGCCUCGGGAAUAAGAGGGGGGCAAGACUGGUGUCAGCCGCCGCGGUAACACCAGCCCCUCGAGUGGUGGGGAUGAUUAUUUGGCCUAAAGCGUCCGUAGCCGGCCGGGUAAGUUUCCCGUUAAAUCCAACGUCUCAAGCGUUGGACUGCGGGAAAUACUGCCUGGCUAGAGAGUGGGAGAGGUCAGCGGUAUUCUGGGGGUAGGGGCGAAAUCCUUUGAUCCCCGGAGGACCACCAGUGGCGAAGGCUGCUGACUAGAACACGUCUGACGGUCAGGGACGAAAGCUGGGGUAGCGAACCGGAUUAGAUACCCGGGUAGUCCCAGCCGUAAACGAUGCAUGCUAGGUGUUGGGUUGGCCACGAGCCACCCCAGUGCCGCAGGGAAGCCGUUAAGCAUGCCGCCUGGGAAGUACGAUCGCAAGAUUGAAACUUAAAGGAAUUGGCGGGGGAGCACCACCAGGCGUGAAGCCUGCGGUUUAAUUGGAGUCAACGCCGGGAACCUUACCGGAAGCGACAGCAGAGUGAAGGCCAGAUUGAAGAUCUUGCCAGACGAGCUGAGAGGAGGUGCAUGGCCGUCGCCAGUUCGUGCCGUGAGGUGUUCUCUUAAGUGAGAUAACGAACGAGACCCGCGCCACAUGUUGCCAUCAGAAUCUAAAGGAUUGCUGGGCACUCUUGUGGGACCGCAGCCGAUAAGGCUGAGGAAGGGGCGGGCAACGGCAGGUCAGUAUGCCCCGAAUCUUCCGGGCCACACGCGGCUGCAAUGGUAUGGACAGAGGGCUGCCACCCCGAGAGGGGGAGCCAAUCCCUAAACCAUACCUCUUUGGGAUUGAGGGCUGCAACCCGCCCUCAUGAACAUGGAAUGCCUAGUAACUGCCAGUCAUCAUCUGGCGGUGAAUACGUCCCUGCUCCUUGCACACACUGCCCGUCGAACCACCCGAAUGAGGUUUGGGUGAGGAAUGGUCGAAUGUUGGCCGUUUCGAACCUGGGCCUCGUAAGGAGGGUUAAGUCGUAACAAGGUG
rnacentral:rRNA from 1 species